rnacentral:lncRNA from 1 species
GGGUCUUCUAAGGUCUUUUCUGAGCAUGCAUUUUGGCUGGGCAUAUGUGUUGCAUUCUAAAUUAUUUAGCAUACACAGUUGCUUUUGAAUGUUCUAGUUUCCCUAAGAAACUCCUCAGCUUAUGCUAUAAGCAAGUUAUUGUGUGGUUACUAAAAUAUUUUGCCUCAAAUGAUUUAUCUAGUGUAGUUUUAUCUCUUUGUAUGGUUUUUUUUUUUAAAUGAAUGCUCUAGGGACCAGAAUACACAUAUUUUACUUUUCACAGUCAAGUUAUAACCACCAUUUUACCACUUCCAAUGGGAUGUAGGAACCUCCUCACCUCACCACAUAGGGUUCUUUACCCACCUGCCCUCAUCUUUAUGUUGCUGUUGUCUUAUAUAUUACAUCUACACACUGAGAACCCAAUUGGACAACGUUUUAAUUCUUGCCUUCAACUGCCAUACUUCUAAAGAACUCGAGAGGAGAGGAAGAGCCUAUUACAUUUACCCAGAUGUUCCAGGGUUCUUUCUUGUAUCAUUUCCCUCUGUCUAAAGAACCCCGUUUAGAAUUUCUUUUAUAACAGACCUGUUGCCAGUGAAUUCUAAUUUUUCUUCGGCUGGAAAUGUCUUUAUUUCAUCUUAAUUCUUGAAAGAUAUUUUUCACUGGAUAUAGAAUUCUGAGUUGACAUUCCUUUUCUUUCAGCACUUAAAAAAUGCUUCUCUUUCUUUGGCCUCCAUGAUGAGAAAUCUGCAUUCAUUUGAAUCCCUUAUUCUCCUAGAAGUAGUGUGUCAUUUUACUCUGGUUGCUUUCAAAGUUUUUUCUUUGUUUUUAGUUUCCAUUUGUGUAAUUAUGAUAUGACUGAGUGUGCAUUUCUUCAGGUUUAUCAUAUUUGGCAUUCACUGAGUUUCUUAAAACUCAAAAGACAUGGAAGUUUCUGUCUUUUGUUACAGUCCUGGUUCUUUUUUUUUUUUUUUUUGGCUUUUUAGGGCUGCACCCGUGGCACAUGGAGGUUCCUAGGCUAGAGGUCCAGUUGGAGCUACACCUUGCCAGCCUACACCACAGCCUCAGCAACUUGGGAUCUGAGCUGCAUCUGUGACCUACACCACAGCUCACGGCAACGCUGGAUCCUUAACCCACUGAGCAAGGCCAGGGAUCAAACCCGCAACCUCCUGGCUCCUAGUCGGGUUUAUUUCUGUUGUGCCAUGAUGGGAACUCCAUUUUUUCAGAAUGAUUGCUCUUGAUCCUUCUUUGACUUCAUUGUCUCCGUCAUCUUCAUUUGGCUCUUGAGCCACAACUGAGUUUUAAUCUUUUCCAUGAUUGUAUUUUUCAGUUACACCUUUUUCCAUUAGUUUUCAACUUAUGUCUUCUGUUUCAUUAAUGAGACUUUCUGUCUUUUCAUUUAUUUCAAGAGCAUGACCCCUUACUUCUUGAAGCAUUUUCAUGGAUUUAAAAUCUCGCCAGGUAAUAUCAACAUCUGUCGUCUCAACACUGUUGUCUGUUGAUUAUUUUUUCCAUCCAACUUGAGAUUUUUCUAGUUUUUAGGACAAGAAUUUUUUUUCUUUUUAUGGCUGCACCAGUGGCAUUUGAGUUCCUGGGCUAGACACUGAAUUGGAGCUGCAGCUGUGGCGUAUGCCACAUGCACACCACCACCAAAUCCUUAAUCCAAUAAGCCAGGCCAGGGGUCAAACCUGCAUCCUCGCAGAAGCAACGUCGGAUCCUUAACGCACUGAGCCACAAUGGGAACUCCAAAACGAGCCAUUUUGGAUUGCAUCCUGGAUAAUUUGAAAAUUACGUUAUGGGACUCCAGGUCUUAUUUAAAUUCUACGGAAAUCGCAUAUAUGUUUAAGGCCGUAUCUACACAUGCACAUUUCAAGGGUGGUCCCAGAAAGUUCAUCAGCAACUUUACGGAUUUGCUUUCCUGAGACCCUCCUUUUUCUCAGUGUUCCUGUGCUUUCCGUUCCCUGGAGCUCCCCAUUCAAUCCUUCAUCAGAAAUGGGGAUUUACUUACCUCCUCAGCUUACGCUUCAUGCUGCUUAUCAUGUGUCUAAGACCAACGCAGGAGAGGAGAGAGAAGGGAAGCAGUGAUGUGGGCGUCCCUCUUCCAGCACAGCCCCUCCAGAUGGACAGGACGCUCUACUCCCUCCGGUUGGAGGCUCCUGUGGACUGGCCCUUGUUACUGCUGUUGCCACUGCUGCCCCAUAGAAUUGCUUCGAGGUUGGGAUGUGUGGGACUAGAUGAAAAAAAAACAAACCAAAACCAGAGGUUUCUGAGCAUUAGGAGUCCCUUUCCAUUACGCAGUCUGGAAUGACACAGCUUCUUCUGGAGCCUUCUCUAUCUGUGCUCUGAACUUUGGACUGUAGGCUACAUUGAGUCCAGGCUGGAUGAUACUGAAGGAAAAACAUAUUCAGCUCACUGCUGGUUUUGGGAUACCGCAAGUUCUGCUGCUCUUCAGAGGGUGCCUGCUGCUGCUUAUUUUCAGGGACCCCACUUACUUGCUCCAUGCAUUGUACUCAGGUCUUGUUUUGCAUAUAUAGUUGCGUUUAGUGGAGAGACAAGGUGCAGUGUGCUUACUCCAUUAGAACAGAAACCGUAUUUUACAUUUGUAACUUUUCACAUUCUAAUUACAAUUACUAUUUUAAAACUUCACAUAAAAUGUAGAAAUCUUGCAAUUACAGGUCCAUGUUUUUCCCACCCUACAUUCCUUAUAGCUGUUAAGUAUGUUUUACCUACGCAUACUGUGAACUCUACAAGUUACUCUUACAGCGUUUGCUUUAACUACUCAUAUGUCUAAUAUCCAGCACAAAUGAACAUCUCCUCAGAAAAGAAAAUCAUGGACUUGGAGAAAAGACUUGUGGCUGCCCGAUGAGGGGGGUGAGUGGGAGGGAGCGGGAGCUUGGGCUUAUCAGACACAACUCAGAAUAGAUUUACAAGGAGAUCCUGCUGAGUAGCAUUGAGAACUUUGUCUAGAUACUCAUGUUGCAACAGAACAAAGGGUGGGAAAAAAAUGUAAUUGUAAUGUAUACAUGUAAGGAUAACUUGAUCCCCUUGCUGUACAGUGGGAAAAUAAAAAAAAAAAAU